rnacentral:lncRNA from 13 species
AUAACACAUUAUACAAAAUCAUAUGAAGCAGUACUGGUAUCUUUGAAAGUUAGGAUUAUGUUCUGUUUUAAAAGAGAAGUUUAAAGAAAAAGGUAUUCACAGGGAUAGGGUCCCUGUAAAUAGAAAAGUUCAUUUUGUAGGAAUCAAGAUCAAAUAAGGUUCUGUCAACACAUACUGCCAAAAAGUCUAAAAACAGAAAGUAAUCUAGAAAUUGUGUCAAAGGGAAAGGAAUACAGUUGUUUCAGUGGCAAGUGUCAGGGAUUAUUUAUCCUGUUAGAUGAUGAUUGCAAUCUGAACAAAGCCAAAGUUCCUUAAGAUUUGAUCAUCAAACCUUAAAGCACUCACUGAUUUCCCUAAAAAUACUUGCCACAAGUAUUUUUAGGCAGUGGAUGCUAUAGAAACCGUGGAAUCUGUGAUGGCAGAGACACCACAGCCACAUUUUCAAUCCUCAUGGCCUGGCAAGCUAUGGCAAAGAAUAAAAUGCUCCCCCAGAGAUGUCAACAUUGCUGACUGCUUCGUGGUUGAUAUUUCCAAGCGUUGCACUGGACACCCUGUUGCCCGCCUGCUGGUCUGCUAUGAACCACAUUCUGCUAACUCCUGGUGCACUUUCAAUCCACUGACAGAGAAGACAAUUGAUUGUUUCUGAUCCACUAACAGAGAAGACAAUUGCACAUAUGUCUACAAGCAACAGGGAAUAUUCUAGAUGCUAGUAAAAAGAUAUUUCUGAAAUUAGUGUCUUAUUUACAAAUGGUAGUAAGUUCACACUGAGCAUGAGCAUUGAAGGGAAAUAUUCUGUUACAAUUUAGAAAAAAGCAUGAUUAUACCAGAGGCUCAAAUCAUUAUUUUCAUUUGUAGGCAUUUGAAUGGUAGAAGAAAUAACAGCUACUCAGGCUUUCCAUACUUAACACACAAUCAGAGGGUGACAGUUUUAAAUUAUGGGAAAUAUAGUUCGAUAUUAGAAAUAAUCUAUAAAGUCUUUUAAAAUAUUUUGUAAACACCACCUUCCUUAACCAACUAGGUCACUACAUUUUUCUUCAAAUGCAAUGUCGUAAAUUUUGUGUCAGGAGUUCUUAGUGUUGGUAUACUUCUUUUAUAAGGAGUACUGUUACAUAGUGAAGAUCGGCUAAGUGAUUAAAUUCUUUAGAAAAUGGCAUACUCCCAUGAAAUUGAUGUAUUUACAUAGGCAAAAGAAAAUACCAGAGGAAAUAAUAGGUCUGGGGAUUGGUAUUGGAAAUCGCUAUAGCCAGUAAGCAAUAAUCAGAUUAUUGCCAAAAACAGGCUAGAUAUGCUAACUUGAAUUAAUGUUAAAAACUGUGAUUUUUUUUAAUACCCUUUUAGGAUGCACUGCUGAUUCUGCAAAUAGAAUCUUGAAAUGUGAC